rnacentral:rRNA from 1 species
UGGCUCAGAACGAACGCUGGCGGCGUGCCUAAUACAUGCAAGUCGAGCGGACUUAAAAAGCUUGCUUUUUAAGUUAGCGGCGGACGGGUGAGUAACACGUGGGCAACCUGCCUGUAAGACUGGGAUAACUUCGGGAAACCGGAGCUAAUACCGGAUAAUCCUUUUCUACUCAUGUAGAAAAGCUGAAAGACGGUUUACGCUGUCACUUACAGAUGGGCCCGCGGCGCAUUAGCUAGUUGGUGAGGUAACGGCUCACCAAGGCGACGGUGCGUAGCCGACCUGAGAGGGUGAUCGGCCACACUGGGACUGAUUCACGGCCCAGAGGAAUACGGGAGGCA